CCUACGGGUGGCAGCAGUGAGGAAUAUUGGACAAUGGGCGAGAGCCUGAACCAGCCAAGUCGCGUGAAGGAUGACGGCCCUACGGGUUGUAAACUUCUUUUGCCAGGGAGCAAUUGGAUCCACCCGUUGGCUUAGCGAGAGUACCUGAAGAAAACGCAUCGGCUAACUCCGUGCCGGCAGCCGCGGUCAGACGGAGGAUGCGAGCGUUAUCCGGAUUUAUUGGGUUAAAAGGUUGCGUAGGCGGAAUAUCACGUCAGCGGUAAAAGUUCGGGGCUAAACCCCGUCCGGCCGUUGAAACUGGGUGCCUUGAGUGGGCGAGAAGAAGGCGGAAUGCGUGGUGUAGCGGUGAAAUGCAUAGAUAUCACGCAGAACCCCGAUUGCGAAGGCAGCCUUCCGGCGCCCUACUGACGCUGAGGCACGAAAGUGCGGGGAUCGAACAGGAUUAGAUACCCCAGUAGUC
rnacentral:rRNA from 1 species